rnacentral:rRNA from 1 species
UACAGAGGUCCCAAGCGUUGUUCGGAUUCACUGGGCGUAAAGGGUGCGUAGGCGGUCAAGCAAGUCUGGUGUGAAAGCUCGGAGCUUAACUCCGAAAUGGCAUUGGAUACUGCUUGGCUAGAGGUUGGGAGGGGGGACUGGAAUUCUCGGUGUAGCAGUGAAAUGCGUAGAUAUCGAGAGGAACACCAGUGGCGAAGGCGAGUCCCUGGACCAAUCCUGACGCUGAGGCACGAAAGCCAGGGGAGCAAACGGG